CUGAACCAGCCAAGUAGCGUGAAGGAUGACUGCCCUAUGGGUUGUAAACUUCUUUUAUAAAGGAAUAAAGUCGGGUAUGCAUACCCGUUUGCAUGUACUUUAUGAAUAAGGAUCGGCUAACCCCGUGCCAGCAGCCGCGGUAAUACGGAGGAUCCGAGCGUUAUCCGGAUUUAUUGGGUUUAAAGGGAGCGUAGAUGGAUGUUUAAGUCAGUUGUGAAAGUUUGCGG
rnacentral:rRNA from 1 species